AUUAGCUGAAACAAACAACAAAUAAGUCGUAUUCCGACUACAAGCAGAAACAGUCGGAUUUAAAGAGGGAAAAGCGUUGACCGAAAACAAAUUCAGAUAAAACACGAAAAAUCUGAUCGAUGGCUUUUCAGCAGCUCAAAGCAAACAGGAUGAGUUUUUGUAAAGCGAAAGCACUUGAAGCUUCGGUACAAGAAAUUGCGACGGGAGUGCUUGCAGGGUUUUAGUGGAGCGAAGGGCGUUUUUGUGAAAAUGUCGCCUGAUGCUUUAAACUACUAAAGCGCAUUAUUGACAUUCCGACAGAUAUUAGUUUUAUUUAUUAUUUGCUCUAUGGGGUACAUCAUCUCCACAGAUUGGCUAAAAUUACUUUGAAACUCUUAUUUAUGUCGGAAAUAAAUUGUCGGAUGAACAGUCCACAGAGUA